GAGGGGAACUAGGGAUCUUCCGCAUGGACGAAAGUCUGACGGAGCAACGCCGCGUGAGUGAUGAAGGUUUUCGGAUCGUAAAGCUCUGUUGUUAGGGAAGAACAAGUGCCGUUCAAAUAGGGCGGCACCUUGACGGUACCUAACCAGAAAGCCACGGCUAACUACGUGCCAGCAGCCGCGGUAAUACGUAGGUGGCAAGCGUUGUCCGGAAUUAUUGGGCGUAAAGGGCUCGCAGGCGGUUUCUUAAGUCUGAUGUGAAAGCCCCCGGCUCAACCGGGGAGGGGCAUUGGAAACUGGGGAACUUGAUGAAAAAAGAUUUUAUUUUAAAAAAAAAA
rnacentral:rRNA from 1 species